rnacentral:misc_RNA from 1 species
UCUCCGUUGGUGAACCAGCGGAGGGAUCAUUACUGGAAUCGCAAGAUCCCACAACCCUGUGAACCUACCGAAACGUUGCCUCGGCGGGUGCCCGGCCUCUGCGCCGGGCGCUGCACCCGCCGGCGGCCCCCUACUCUGUCUCUGCAGCGUGGCAUCUCAGAGUCCCAGAAAACAAGUCAAAACUUUCAACAACGGAUCUCUUGGCUCUA